GACGAACGCUGGCGUCGUGCUUAACACAUGCAAGUCGAACGGAAAGGCCCUGCUUUUGUGGGGUGCUCGAGUGGCGAACGGGUGAGUAACACGUGAGUAACCUGCCCUUGACUUUGGGAUAACUUCGGGAAACUGGGGCUAAUACCGGAUAGGAGCUCCUGCUGCAUGGUGGGGGUUGGAAAGUUUCGGCGGUUGGGGAUGGACUCGCGGCUUAUCAGCUUGUUGGUGGGGUAGUGGCUUACCAAGGCUUUGACGGGUAGCCGGCCUGAGAGGGUGACCGGCCACAUUGGGACUGAGAUACGGCCCAGACUCCUACGGGAGGCAGCAGUGGGGAAUAUUGCACAAUGGGCGGAAGCCUGAUGCAGCAACGCCGCGUGCGGGAUGACGGCCUUCGGGUUGUAAACCGCUUUCGCCUGUGACGAAGCGUGAGUGACGGUAAUGGGUAAAGAAGCACCGGCUAACUACGUG
rnacentral:rRNA from 1 species